rnacentral:misc_RNA from 1 species
GAACGCACCUUGCGCUCCUUGGUAUUCCGAGGAGCAUGCCUGUUUGAGUGUCAUUUAAUUCUCGACCUUAUUAGCUUUUGUUGAUAAUGGCUUGGAUGUGGGGGUUUUCUUUUGCUGGCUUUCUUCGGAUGUCAGCUCCCCUUAAAUGUAUUAGCCGGUGCCCUGCGUGGACUAUCCGUUGGUGUGAUAAUUAUCUACGCCGUUGGAUGUCUGCAAAUAGGUUUUGCACUGCUUCUAACUGUCUGUUCAUUUGGACAAUACAUGACAAUUUGACCUCAAAUCAGGUAGGACUACCCGCUGAACUUAAG